rnacentral:rRNA from 1 species
CGCCUCUUGACUAACAUAAGAGGUCCAGCCUGCCCAGUGAUAUAAUUCAACGGCCGCGGUAUCCUAACCGUGCGAAGGUAGCGUAAUCACUUGCCCUUUAAAUAAGGGCUAGUAUGAAUGGCAUCACGAAGGUUAUACUGUCUCCUUUCUCUAAUCAGUGAAACUAAUCUCCCCGUGAAGAAGCGGGGAUGAACUUAUAAGACGAGAAGACCCUAUGGAGCUUUAAACAAAUAACAAUUGCUAUAAAUAUCCAAAUUUCAGAAUUAUAAAAUUUAUUUUUAGCAAUUUGAUUACUAGUUUUAGGUUGGGGUGACCGCGGAGUAAAAAUUAACCUCCACAUUGAAAGAAAUACUUUCUAAACAAAAAACUACAACUUUAUGUAUCAAUAAAUUGACAUCAAUUGACCCAAUAUUUUUGAUCAACGAACCAAGUUACCCUAGGGAUAACAGCGCAAUCUACUUCAAGAGCCCAUAUCGACAAGUAGGUUUACGACCUCGAUGUUGGAUCAGGGUAACCCCAGUGGUGCAGCCGCUACUAACGGUUCGUUUGUUCAACGAUUAAAACCCUACGUGAUCUGAGUUCAGACCGGAGAAAUCCAGGUCAGUUUCUAUCUAUAAAGAGUUUAUUCUAGUACGAAAGGACCGAAAAAACAUGGCCUAUGUUUAAUACAAGCCAUAAUUUAAUUUAUGUUAAAAACUCAAUAAAUUAUUAAUCUAACAUUUAACUUAAGAUAAAAGUA